rnacentral:rRNA from 1 species
ACGGAAGGCAGCAGUGGGGAAUAUUGGGCAAUGGGGGAAACCCUGACCCAGCAACGCCGCGUGAAGGAAGAAGGCCCUCGGGUUGUAAACUUCUUUUACCAGGGACGAAACAAUGACGGUACCUGGAGAAAAAGCAACGGCUAACUACGUGCCAGCAGCCGCGGUAAUACGUAGGUUGCAAGCGUUGUCCGGAUUUACUGGGUGUAAAGGGCGUGUAGGCGGAGAAGCAAGUCAGAUGUGAAAUCCCGGGGCUUAACCCCGGAACUGCAUUUGAAACUGUUUCCCUUGAGUAUCGGAGAGGCAAGCGGAAUUCCUAGUGUAGCGGUGAAAUGCGUAGAUAUUAGGAGGAACACCAGUGGCGAAGGCGGCUUGCUGGACGACAACUGACGCUGAGGCGCGAAAGCGUGGGGAUCGAACAGGAUUAGAUACCCUGGUA